UGGUGGAGUCCGUGCGGUGUCGGCCCGAGGGGCUGAAUUUCGGUGAAUUUGAUAGCAAAUGAUUUGAAUUUUGCUCAGAUGGGUUGUGAAUUUAUAUACAGCAAGUGUCACAAACAUGGAAAGGCAAGUUUACAAAGGACAGGAGACUUAGAAAGGCUUCAAUUGACGUAGCCGAAGAGAGGCGAGAAGCCGAAGAUAGACCGACUCCAAACGAUGCCCAGUGCAAUCAUGCUUCUGGUGCGGAGUUGUCAGGAUGGAGUCCGAGGAAUCAAAGAAGGCAGAGGACCUGCGUAUGAAGGAACCAGCCCUGCGGAUGAAGUUCUGAGGUGCAUACAGAGGGAUCCCACUGAAAGACCAGGUGCAAUGCUGCAUUGAUAAGAUCCAGAUUCAAGAGCAUGGAUGCUACCAGAUCCUGUGAUUUGAAGUUACCAGUGUCACUGCUGCUACAAAUGACAUCAGCAACACUUCCUUUGGUGAAAGUUUAGAGGAGCAAACAGUUGAUGCUCUGUGUAGUCAAGCAGUGGAGUUUUGCCACAAUCAUGAAGCUGAUUAAGGUGUCAAUUUUUUGCUCUGGCUUCUGGGACACCUUGGAUCUACAUUGCAACCUAUGCUAGUGUUCAACAUUUCGUGUCAUAGUAUCACUGAUGCAAAGCGUGUUGCAUCAUACACAAAUGAGAGCUAACAAAUUGUCAGAUAUUUUCUAGUGAUGAGAACUGAAUGCCUUAAGCAAUUGUUGAAGGUGAUAAAUGGUGAAUGGUAGGGCUCAGCCACUCAGCUCCUUCCUUCAAAAGCUAUCAAUCAGCUCUAGAAGAGUAGUCAUAGCAAUGCUUCAUAUGUGAAGGCUACUUGCCUGAACAGAACAUUGUGGAUUUGUUAAUUAAGUACCUCUUUAUUACAAGUUUGUGCCCAUUACAAGCCAAGCUUAGUUUACUUAGUUUGUUGUAAGUUUUCCAGCCAGCCUUCACACUUGUGUCGCUGAAUAUUAAACUUUAACUGAUAGACCGACAGAUAUUGUCCCUCAUCAGAUUUUAAUCAGUCAGUCGUGUUGGUAGAAGGUACAUCUGUCUUAAAAGUACCGCGGAAAGUGACGGUGGAUCCAUCAAGCCUGACCGAGGAUGUCAUAUAGAGCCACGCAGAAAUGGCCGGUGAUUCGUUGCCCAUCAUUACAGAAUGAACGCAUGCCGGAUGAAGGGUUAAGUCAAUAGUCUACAAACUACAGGGAUGUGGUUGACUUAUCUGACAGUGACGAGCGCUAGAGGUCAACUUAAAGGGACCCUCCCACCUUCAAAAAAGUUAAUGAAUUGGCAUAAAAGUGAUGUAGCGUGAAUCACAAAGAGCGAAAAUGAACAUCUACCAAAUUUUACCGGAAAAUAUUCACCCGUUUUCGAGAUAUAAGACUUUUAUUUUUGUUUACUUUUUGGGAACUCCGCUGUUUCUGUGACGUCACAUAAAGGUUUUCUUUACGUCGGCAUUUGGAAGCAAUAGUUUGGUAUCAAAGUGCGACAAAUAUUGCGCGAAUGAUGCGUUUAUCUUAUCAAGGUCAAUAUAUGAUGACCAAUAAAGGAUUCCAGGACAAUUCUUCUUAUGGCAUUUCUUCGUAUCGCAAUUCUUCGUCUGCAAAUCUUCGUCAGGGCAUUUAUUCGUAUCGCAUUACUUUGUCUCGCAUCAGGGUAUAUGAAAAUCGGCUCGCAUUUCUUCUUCAACGCAAAUAUAUGCAAGAGUAAGCAUUGAGGGACAAAUAAAUGCACCGACGAAGAUUUGUAGACGAAGAAAUGCGGACGAAAAAUUGUGCUACGAAGAAAUGUCAUGCGAGAAUUCGUUCGGGUACCAUGACAUUUAUGUGAUUUCAAAGUCAAGGUUCGCAGCUGAUCUGCUAAAUCAAGCCAAGAAUCCAAACUAUCAAAAAACUAUAAAUAUUAGUUUGUCUGUCACAGAGGUCUCAAGCAAUAUAAGGUUGACAUAUGUUGAAUCAAAAAUCUACUGCCACAGCUCACAUCUCCUGCCUUAGUUUAUCAUUGUUGUUUUAAAUUGCUUUCAAGAGAAACAGAAGGCGCCAGUAUCUGAUAUCACUUCAGAUGAUUGUUUCAAGAUCUGAGUUCAAAUGGAAAUAAAAGCAAGAUCAAGAUGAAACAGGGAUUAUUGCUGUUAAAGUAGUUUGGCCAUGAUACAACAAGCACAUAAAUCAUUAGCCAAAUCAAAAACUGGUUGGUUUGUCAAGAUGUUUGUUGUCUGUCGUCAGUUGAGCUGCUAUGAACACUGAACGCUCUCACUCUUACUUUAAAGAGAGCAGUUUAAGUUGAAUGGUAGUGAGCUGUAAUUAGACAAAGCAGCUAUUCAGUGCUCACAUCAAGCCAGGCUAGGAAAUGGCAUCAACUGUGGUGGGAGGAAGCAGGCUCGGCAGCCCUAUGUUGUAAACUUCUGUUGUGUCUUGUGUUUGAUCAACUGAUGUUUUCUGCAGUGAUAGUAGCAGGUAACUGCAUGCUUGUCAAAUUAUGUGAAUAAACGAAUUCAUAACAUUGCAUUUUUCUCUCCAUGCAAGGAACAAGUAAGAUGUUGUAGAAAAUGUAUUAGAGGGCUGCAUUGCUGAUUUUGCACUUUAUCAGAGCUUUAUUUAGAAUUGCUUUCCUGAAAGCUACACACAGGCCACAGCACUGAAAUUCACAAUGUCAUAGCUUUUGGCAGAAAAAAAAGAAAAGACUUACCUAGGUAAAAUUGGCUGAAAGUAUGGCAGAGCAGGUCUUGAUGCGUAUGCCCAUCCGUGUGCUUGCCGAAGCCGAACUGACUGCAACACAUUAACUCUGACCCACCAUGGUGGCUGGCAUAUCCUGAACUUUCACCACCCUAAACAAGACAACUUUCAGCCCUCAGCAUUGUAUUAAAAUAAAACACUGUACAUGACACUCAAAAUUUGUUUCAGUGCCAUCCACAGACAACAUCAGUCGCCAUUCACCUUCACCAGGCCAGUAAAAACAGAAUAGAUAAUAGCUUCAAACCCAUGUAGUCAGAGUUACUAGGUCUGCACCUCAAAACAAAAUCCAGGUGACAUUCACCACGCCAGUAAAAAACAGGUACUUAGGUAACGUAACAGCUUCAAAUCUGGUAACAUGUUGGUCGGACUUUACACUACCAUAUUUACAUGGAAUAAUAUGAUACCAAACAAUAGUGCAACCAUUCUGGACAACAAAAGUGUAUGACAAAAUUAAUUUAGAAUACUUUGGCAGCAUGAUUUAUGAGCACAGGCAGAUGUUACCUACCAGCCUUCUCAAUGCUCGUAAAACCAACAUUGUAGUUUUGAUUUUACCUUACAUGAUAACACACUUGGCUGCAAUGACACAUUUAAUUUAAUACUGUGAAAAGACCAGUUAUAACCACUUCACAAGCACAAUUGCACCUCAUGCCGACAUCCUUUUCCAAAGACAGUCAGCAGCGUCUUUCGUCAAAACUGGAAGAUCAAUCCCCUUUCAACUGUUAACAUCAAAAAUAUUUCUCCAUGGUGUGAUCUCCAUAUGAAAGCCUUGCAGGAAAAGAAUUAAUGUCAAUUGUCAGCUCUUCAAAUUUCUUUGGACUUUAACUUGCAGUACCAUAUCCAGUUUGCUUUGAUAUUUUGUUUUUUAUUCCAUGUUUAAGUUCAACACCAAGCUCCAGAUAUAGCAGGCAGCUUGAUCAUCUUCGGCCUUGGUAUAAUAUAUAUGGCCUUGGGUAUAAUAUCAGUCCAAGUUCCAGUGGUGGGUAUCUUCUAAUAUUCAAAUUAAAAUGAAAAGCAACAGGCUUUCUCAGCGCCCACGGUCAUAGAAUACUAUCAGCGCCGACGACGGAUUUCACGUUGAUAAAGAAGGGAGCUCAAGGUCAGCAAAUUUCGGGUUCAAGGAAUGGCGGGCGUUGAAAUGACUGCUGACGUCAUCAAAAAACCGCUAAUGGUUAAGAGAUAGGGACUAAGCUGGUCCCACCCUGCAAGUAAAGGGAAGAAAUUUCUUGAACACCAUAAAGCUGCGGGGUUUGCGACCAGGAUAAAUGGUGGUUUCUGAGCCUGGCCGCAAACUUGGCUAUCUCAACUCAAAACUAAUGUUAAGGUGGGAUGGUCCCUUUAAGUCCGUAGGUAUGCGUUCUUGUCAUGGAAUGUGUGCUGUAAAUCGAUUGUUUCAUGCGUGUGAAUAUAUGUCUGAAUGUAAUAGGGUUUUUAAUUUCAACUGUGUAAGUUAAAAUAUGUGAUAACAUCGUAUCUUUCGUACUCCGUAGCUUUUGGUGACCAUUCGAUCAGCUCCCUUUCCUUCCGCUCAAUGACGAUGUAGUAGUU